rnacentral:rRNA from 1 species
ACUCAGUGAAAUUGAACUCGCUGUGAAGAUGCAGUGUACCCGCGGCAAGACGGAAAGACCCCGUGAACCUUUACUAUAGCUUGACACUGAACAUUGAGCCUUGAUGUGUAGGAUAGGUGGGAGGCUUGGAAGUGUGGACGCCAGUCUGCAUGGAGCCGGCCUUGAAAUACCACCCUUUAAUGUUUGAUGUUCUAACGUUGACCCGUAAUCCGGGUUGCGGACAGUGUCUGGUGGGUAGUUUGACUGGGGCGGUCUCCUCCUAAAGAGUAACGGAGGAGCACGAAGGUUGGCUAAUCCUGGUCGGACAUCAGGAGGUUAGUGCAAUGGCAUAAGC